AUUGAACGCUGGCGGCAUGCUUUACACAUGCAAGUCGAACGGUAACAGGCUGCAAGGUGCUGACGAGUGGUGAACGGGUGAGUAAUGCAUCGGAACGCGCCCGGUCGUGGGGGAUAACUACUCGUAAGAGUAGCUAAUACCCCAUACGAUCUAUGGAUGAAAGCGGGGGAACGUAAGGCCUCGCCGGAUUUGACCGGCCGAUGUCAGAUUAGGUAGUUGGUGGGGUAAAGGCUCACCAAGCCAACGAUCUGUAGCUGGUCUGAGAGGACGACCAGCCACACUGGAACUGAGACACGGCCCAGACUCCUACGGGAGGCAGCAGUGGGGAAUUUUGGACAAUGGGCGCAAGCCUGAUCCAGCAAUGCCGCGUGCAGGAAGAAGGCCUUCGGGUUGUAAACUGCUUUUGUACGGAACGAAACGGCUCUGGUUAAUACCCGGCGCUAAUGACGGUACCGAAAGAAUAAGCACCGGCUAACUACGUG
rnacentral:rRNA from 1 species